AGAGAGAGCCAAGCAUAUGUAUUUGAGAAAGCCCCCAGGUAAUUCUGAUGUGCAUCCCGAUCAAGGAACCUCUGUGGAAGAAUUGGUCCACUUUAAUUGCUAUAUGAUACAAAUUAGUGAAAUUUAUGAGAACCCUAUGUUGGCUCUUAUAAGAAAUGGAAAUUAAUAAAUUAAGGAAAUUGAAAGACGAAGGGCACUUGGCUGCAUUUAAAUAUAGUUUCUUCUCAGGGAGAAUGUCACUAUUAUGAAUUUUUCAUCAUUCAAAGAAACUGGAGCUAAAAAUUGCUUUUAUACCAUCUGUCAACAGUGAACAAGUUGGUUCUGGGCUGCACUAGAUCUCUCUCAAUGCAUUCCUCUAAUAAUCAGUGACACACCUUUGAGUAGUGGCCCUUCUCGAGUGCCUCUGUGGGGCUGAAUACAUUUUUAUAUUCUUAAAUUUUAAACAAAAGAGGUGUAGGGAUUUAUAAAUUUUAAUCUUAAGAGGGCAAAAAAACUAAAUCAUAUUUUUUAAAAUUUGUUUGUACUUCCAGGCUGACAGAUUGACUCUUUUAGUGGACAAAUAACUUCUCUAGGUUUCAUCUGUCUGAUCUGAGUAGACACGUUAGGAAAAUAAGGGAGUAAAGAAGACUAUAGAAGGUAUUUUAACAUGGGAACUGGGAGCUCAGAUGCUGGAUCAGGUAGUUCUGACCUUAAUCUGGCUCUAUGCCAUGUACUAGCUUUGUGAAUUGGGAUAACUAGCCUUGGCUUAAUCAUCUAUAAAAUGUAGUUGGUAAAGGCAUCUAUCCCCUUGUAUUUUGCAGGGAAUGAAAGAUAAUGUUAAGUAAAAUGCUUAGCGCAGUACCCAAGUCAUAGUUAAUCUUUAAUAAGUGAUAGCCCCUACUAACUUUUUCAUAGAUUCUGAGACACAUCCUGCAAUUGAGAUAAUUGCCAGCUUUUUUCUUUCCUAAAGAUACAUGACUUUUUCCAGAUCAGUUCUAUCUUAGAUUUGAUGAAACAGGUAUUAUUGCUUACUAGAGUACACCAUAUCCAGUGGGUUUAGCAAACACAAAUUUGCACAUAAUAGUUUAUGGAUUAAUUCCUAAAGUUUUGUUUGAAUAACUUGAAUAGGUCCAGAAGACAUCCGCUUAUAUUAGCAACUGUGCCAAUGUGUCUAUUGAAUAAUAAGAAAUUUCUUUCAAAUGCAUUCCAAAAGGCCACCUUUUAAUUAAUUCACAAAGCCUUCGUCCAAGUAAUUCAAAUUGAUUGUUAUUUUUCACAUCCAUAAAAAAUGAUUUUUUGUAGGCAGACAGUGGCCACCAACUUUGAUCUGAAUCUACUGAGGACAACAUAAUGGUCUUUGGUUGCAGCAUGUGAGAUUGCCUUCAGAGAGAAAGGGGAACUGAUGAAAGUGGGUUCCCCUCAUGGUGGGUUCCCCUCAUUCCCUGCUCACAGCUGACCUGACUCUGAUUAAGAGUCCUUGGAGACACCUUGCCGAGACCGCUGUAAGGAUGCAGCUAAGGAUAUCUCCAUCUCAUAAAAGGUUCAGUGUCCCGUUAUGAAGAACCUUCAGAAAAAGCUUCUCCUAGUUUUAGUAUCAGCUUUUGUUCAGUUAUUCAACAAACAUUCACCAGGGCUCCUCCUCAGUGCCAUACUCAGUCCUAGGGGUUACAGACCAGGUCUUGGGCUCAUAGACUUUCUGGAAUGCAAGAGACACAUGAUAAACAUAUUGUCAAGUAAGUGAGUUAAAAUUUUUCAUGUGAGAAAAACUGAGCAAGGUGAAGCAGGCCCACCUUGGGCUUGGGGGAAGAGAGGCUGCUUUCAAAGUGGGCAGUAAGAAACCACUUCUCUGGGAAUGGAACUUUGAGCCCGAAUGGCAAGAACAGGUCGGACAUGUGAAGAUCUGAGGAAAAAGGAAAAACAGGUGCAAAGGUCUUGAGUCAGGGAUGACCUUGGUGUGUUCAUGGGUCAAAAGGGAGACCAGGGUGGCUGAUAUGAAGCAAGGAAGCAGAGGUGAUUAGCUGCUGAGACUGAAGGCCUGAAAGGACCUGGGCAUCAGGAUUUCUAGGUGGAGGGGAAGCAGCUGGUGCUGAGAACACACCUGGGCUGCUCUGCCGUGUGUACCUCUGGGCCUCGUGAAUGGAUAUCUUAACCCGCUUCCUUUUCUCAUCUCCCCCUCCUCUCCCUCUUUGGGCCAGAUUCAUGACCUUUGGUUAAUGUCUUGGAGUCUGUGUUGUGCAUUAACUUCUUUCCUGGCACCAUCUUGUGCCCAAUUCUGUGUGUCCUUUUUCUUUCUCUCUAAUACUUCUUGGUGUAGAUAACUGGUUUAUCUUUCGGGUAAUUCACUUUCCACCUUGUUUUAGAUGAAGAGGGGUGGACGAUGCAUCCAUGCAUAAACAAUGGUGGAGGAACAGGGGCUGGUGACAUCUUCUUCAUGAAGUCAUCAGAACAAGAUGGACUUUUAUCUCUCCAGCUGAACUUAGAAGCUGGAUCCUCUGUCUUUGACUUUCUGCUCCUUGGGUCUUAGUGUGAGGCUAUGGAUUUGGAAAGGGCUACAGUGGAUUCAUGUUAUUUGCAGUCAUUAUAUUCUAUAUAGUCUCAAACACUCAAUUGAGGAAUAUUGAACCACUUCUCCAGAGGAGAUAUAGGGUAAAAAUUGAAGAAACUUCUGGUCCUACACAACUUUUGUAUUAACCAAUCAAUAAUACUUAUGUCUUAUGGAUGUUUCUGUUUAAAGAGCCCUUUCUUUUUUUAUUUUUUUUGGGUUACUUAAUGAAUUUAUUACAUUUAUGGUUGUACAGUGAUCACCACAAUCCAAUUUUAUAGGAUUUCCAUCCCAUUUUGGGUGUUUCUGUUUAAAGACCCCUUUCUUAGUAUAUAUUGUUGAUUCAUUAACAUUGAACCCGUAGCCAACAGCAUGACAACUCAUGCCUGAACAAAGCUUAUAUAACACACCUAUGUUCCCUGGAGGGCUUAUCACAGCCGCCUUGUGCUUAGGAACUUAGCACCUUAGCACCAUGCUUGGGGACCACUUCAAAGAGUGAAAUCAUGGACAAAAACGUGUAAAACAUGUCACUAAAUAGACAAUAAAAAGCAUUGCUCUUCAUGAUAUGAGAACUGAAACAAGAAGGCAGAGCACAACCUAGUUCAAGCCUAGCUGGGAACAUGCAUGUCCAAUGACUCAGACUUUUCUCCAUCCUACACACAUCUGUGAAGUUGCGGGACGGUGCUGUUAGUGGUGAUUUGGGGAUUACAAAUACAUUUUAGUGAGUAGGCAAUUUUCAGAUACAGAAUCCGUGAAUAAGGACUGGCAUAUAUUAAAACAAUUUUUUUUUUUUUACUUUUGAAGUAGACCACGGUAAUCCCAGUAUUGUGACGUAUGUCAGCAAGACUGAGAGCUAUUUAUUCAUUUAUUGGACAUAUAAGGACUUCAAGUAGGAUGCAUAUUUGCCCUAAUAUGAAAAAUUCAGUUUAUAGUUCAAGUUUAUAUGUACCAAGAAGCUGAGUGGGUCAGUCCCUAAAGUCCUGGUGCAUGGAGGUAUUUUCACUGCUUAACAACAACCAGCCUAUGCAAUUGGGAACCUUUGGCAGAUGGAUGUGAAAAAUUGUUCCUCAAUGUUUUUUUCCUAAGGAAGUUAAGGAACCAGAAGUUCUGAUCAAAGUGGUCUGUUGGGUAAAAAAUUCCUUGAAACACCAUGGUCAAGAGGAGAAUAAAACGUUCCAGCCUCUUAAAUAGACAGUACACUUACUCUCCUGAGAGUCUGGACCUCACAAACAACUGGUCUUGAGAGGGCUGCUCAGAAGGGGUGGGGCACAGAAACAGGAAGCAAGAACUGGGCUCUUUGAACUCUUUCUUCUUCUUUUAUUUAUAUUUUAAUUAAAAAAAUUUUUUUAGGGCUGCAGGUGCGACAUAUAGAAGUUCCUAAGCUAGGGGUUGAAUCGGAGCUAUCGCUGCUGGCCUACACCAUAGCCACAGCAAUGCCCACUGAGCGAGGCCAGGGAUGGAACCUGAGUCCUCAUGGAUACUAGUUGGAUUCGUUUCCGCUGUGCCACUGUGGGAACUCCCCUAUCAUGGCUCUUCUAAACAUGUUCAUAUAUUCUAGGCAAACUGUCUUCCUUGCUAUCUGCAAAACAUAAUUAAAUUUUCUAACCCCAUACCAUUAUGCAUCUGCUACUUUCUCCUAGGUAUGCCUUCUUUCCAUCUCAAUUAUUUUUAACAACAUGUUUCCAAAUUCUCCACAAAUAGAUGUUGUUUUCUCAUCCCCAAACUUCCUCAGCACUUUACCUUCGCCUCUAGAGGAAUUUUACAUGUUUUUCUUUACAUUAAUUUUUUUUGGUCUCUUUCUUACUAUUACUCCCCAUUCUAUAGGAACAUAAAACUUCCUAUUUCCCAUAAUCCUUAAAGGAGGUCUUGCACUGCAAAAAUUCUCAAUAAAUAUUGAUAGAACUUGGAGGAUGUUCUUAACUAUUCUGCAGUAGUUCAUGAGCCACCUCUCUAGGGAGGAAAGGAGAAGAGAGGGAGGGUUGCCACCAAGAACUCAUACCUGAGGCCACCUCAAGAGGUAUAAGAGGGUCCAGAUCAAAAUGGAGAAUGCACUCCAGGUCCCAGACACCUAAGAGGCCACAGUCCGGUCUUAGAGCUUGGAGGAGAUGUAUGUAAACUCUCUGGAGUGAAGUGUCAGAAAUAAAUGGAAAUGUCAGGAAUUUCCCUCAUAAGUUAUCUGGAGUUGCUGUGGACAUCAUGGAGCGUUGUGGUCUCCAUAAACCCUUGGCUAAGGGGUGAUUCCGGGUGUGGCAGAGUCACCCCAGACUGACCACAGUCCCUUGGCCAUCUCUAGCUCUUGGCUGAAUCAGACUUGAGGUUUGGAGACGAUACACUGGUCAGAGACCUCAUGUUGUUGUACCUAUCCUGUUCUUCCAUGACAAACUAU
rnacentral:lncRNA from 1 species